rnacentral:lncRNA from 10 species
UGCCCCUAUGAAUGGGAUUCAUGCCCUUAUAAAGAGAUAAAAAGAUAAAAAGAUUUGUGCCCUUAUAAAGAGAUAAAAAGACCAGAGCUCUCUCUACUCUGCCAGGCAAAACGAGGCACUUAUGUCUUGGAGUGGGGUAGAGACACAUGCAUUUGCAGUCCCUGAGCGUUCCCAGAAGUCACCUCCUGACAUAAUAAAUCUCCCAUUAACGAGCCUCCUGCCCUUCAGGGAUGAAUUGCAGAGCUCUGCAAAGCCCAAAGCCAGCACACCUGUCCCAGAACCUCAAGAAACUGGAGUUUAAUUUACAGUUAAAGUCAAAGAAAAAUGAAAAAGAACCCAACUCCAAUGUAGCAGCAGCAGCAACCACAAAUCUUCCUUUUUUCUCUCUGUGCACAUCUUACCUUCAUACAGCCAGUCACUGAGGCCAUUGUAAAUCACACCUUCCUUGCCAGUGGAGACCACACGGAUGGCCUGUUUCCCGACAUGUGCACAGUAGUAGAUAUUGUUUUCAAAAAUAAAUAUCUAAUUUGGAAAGAGAAAAAAGCAUAAUAUUAAGCAAGGAAGUGGUUAUAAAUAGGCUGUUCUUAAAAAAUCUGAAAUCAUCAACCGGGUUUUCAUUUUCCUGUUGUAUUUAUUAGACAGAACAAAGGCAGUCUCAAAAUUCUUGGAGGUCUACCCACCUCGAACAGAAUAUACCUGUAAGGAUUAAUCAGAGGCUGAAAUUCCACAUUCUUCACCCAAUGUUAUCACUUACCAUGACUGGACAAUUUGUGGUCUGAUACUUCUAGCUACUUAAAAUCUGAUAUGGUUUGGAUUUGUGUCCCCGUCCAAAUCUCAUGUCAAAUUGUAAUCUCCAAUGUUGGAGGCUGAGCCUGGUAGGAGGUGACUGGAUCAUGGGGCUAGAUUUCUCCCUUGCUGUUCUCAUGAUAGUGAGGGAGUUCUCACAAGAUUUGGCUGUUUAAAAGUGUGUAGCCCUCCCCCUGUGCUCUCUUCCUCCUCCUCCAGCCAUGUAAGUUGUGCCUGCUUCCCUUCACCUUCCACCAUGAUUGAAAGUUUCCUGAGGCCUCCCCAACCAUGCUUUCUAUGUAGCCUGCAGAAUCAUGAGUCAAUUAAAC